rnacentral:misc_RNA from 1 species
UUAAGUUCAGCGGGUAGUCCUACCUGAUUUGAGGUCGAAUUUGUCAAGUUUCUUCCGGUCAAGGAAGACAUAAGGCCAUCCGCAAUGAAGGCAGGACUGACCGACGUAGAUAGUUAUCACAUCGGAGUCGCUUUGCCGAUCGGAAAAGCACAUGCAUUCAAGAGGAGCCGACAAGCCCACGAGGGGCGCCAGCAAUAUAU